rnacentral:rRNA from 1 species
GACGAACGCUGGCGGCGUGCUUAACACAUGCAAGUCGAACGGAAAGGCCCUGCUUUUGUGGGGUGCUCGAGUGGCGAACGGGUGAGUAACACGUGAGUAACCUGCCCUUGACUUUGGGAUAACUUCAGGAAACUGGGGCUAAUACCGGAUAGGAGCUCCUGCUGCAUGGUGGGGGUUGGAAAGUUUCGGCGGUUGGGGAUGGACUCGCGGCUUAUCAGCUUGUUGGUGGGGUAGUGGCUUACCAAGGCUUUGACGGGUAGCCGGCCUGAGAGGGUGACCGGCCACAUUGGGACUGAGAUACGGCCCAGACUCCUACGGGAGGCAGCAGUGGGGAAUAUUGCACAAUGGGCGGAAGCCUGAUGCAGCAACGCCGCAUGCGGGAUGACGGCCUUCGGGUUGUAAACCGCUUUCGCCUGUGACGAAGCGUGAGUGACGGUAAUGGGAAAAGAAGCACCGGCUAACUACGUG